rnacentral:rRNA from 1 species
UACAGAGGUGCCAAGCGUUAGGCGGAAUCACUGGGCGUAAAGCGCACGUAGGCGGAUUGUUAAGUCAGGGGUGAAAUCCUGGAGCUCAACUCCAGAACUGCCUUUGAUACUGGCGAUCUUGAGUCCGGGAGAGGUGAGUGGAACUGCGAGUGUAGAGGUGAAAUUCGUAGAUAUUCGCAAGAACACCAGUGGCGAAGGCGGCUCACUGGCCCGGUACUGACGCUGAGGUGCGAAAGCGUGGGGAGCAAACAGG